CACGCACGCUGGCGGCAGGCCUAACACAUGCAAGUCGAGCGAGCAUUUCGGUGCUAGCGGCGGACGGGUGAGUAACGCGUGGGAACGUGCCCUUUUCUGCGGAAUAGUCCUGGGAAACUGGGGGUAAUACCGCAUACGCCCUUUUGGGGAAAGAUUUAUCGGAGAAGGAUCGGCCCGCGUUGGAUUAGGUAGUUGGUGGGGUAAUGGCCCACCAAGCCGACGAUCCAUAGCUGGUUUGAGAGGAUGAUCAGCCACACUGGGACUGAGACACGGCCCAGACUCCUACGGGAGGCAGCAGUGGGGAAUCUUAGACAAUGGGGGCAACCCUGAUCUAGCCAUGCCGCGUGAGUGAUGAAGGCCUUAGGGUUGUAAAGCUCUUUCAGCUGGGAAGAUAAUGACGGUACCAGCAGAAGAAGCCCCGGCUAACUCCGUG
rnacentral:rRNA from 1 species